rnacentral:tRNA from 1 species
GGGCCAAUCGUAUAGUGGCUUAUUAUGCUGUCUUAGGGCAAUCACCUCUUUCCAGAGGAUGCACUCUAAGUUGACAGAGGUCCCCGGUUCGAUUCCGGGUUGGCCCC